rnacentral:pre_miRNA from 1 species
CAUGGGCCGUCCUCCCCAACAAUAUCCUGCGCUGAGUGAUGACACCGCAACUCCAGCAUCAGUGAUUUUGUUGAAGAGGUCAGCUGCCA